UACGGAGGGUGCAAACGUUAUUCGGAAUUAUUGGGCUUAAAGGGUGCGUAGGCUGUGCAGUAAGUUGGGUGUGAAAUCCCUCGGCUCAACCGAGGAACUGCGCCGAAUACUGCUGUGCUAGAGGAAGAUAGGGGUAAGCGGAACUGAUGGUGGAGCGGUGAAAUGCGUUGAUAUCAUCAGGAACACCGGUGGCGAAGGCGGCUUACUGGAUCUUUUCUGACGCUGAUGCACGAAAGCUAGGGGAGCGAACGGG
rnacentral:rRNA from 1 species